ensembl:lncRNA
GAGCUUUGAUGCAGACCUGACAACAGCUCCCGCUGACCCCACGGGGAGCUUUAGAGCUAAAGUGAGCCAUUGGAAUUUCCCCAGACUGAAGCUGGGAAGACUGAAAGAAGGAGAAGAAGAGGAUGACACAGGAUGAGAUGGUUGGAUGGCAUUAUCCACUCAACGGACCAGGAAUCCUAGGGCUGUCUGCAGAACACCUUGUUUCCUAUCUGGUCCGUGUGAAGUAAUGAGACAAGAAUGUACUGGCAGAAACAGUCAAGGCUGGAAGGUUCCUGAAUUUGCUGGGGAAAGAAGUGUCUUCUGUUUUAAUGAGGCAACUCUGGCAGAGGAGGGGAUCUCCUGGCCUGCUCCUGGAUGGAGGGUACCCACAGGAAAGACUAAGCCAUGUUUAGAAGCUUAGGAUUCUCAGCCCUGCCCUCAUUCUCUUGAGAAGAGAGAAGGACUGAAAAUAGAGUAAACACUCAAUCAUGCCUAUGUGAAGCAUCCAUAAAAUUCCAAAUACACAGAGUUCAGAGAGCUUCCAGGGCUACACAUCGCCCUGGAAGGGCAAUGCACAUAACUCCACCAGGGCAGAAGCUCCUAUGCUCAGGACCCUCCCGGACCGCACCCUGUGUUUCUCUUCAUCUGGCUGUUUCUUUGUAUCUCUUAUCCUGUCUUUUAAUAAACUGGUACACGUGUUUCC